UUGAAUAAACCUGGCGUGGUUGUAGCUGGCUCUUUAGGGAGCAUGUGCUCGCCCGUCAUCUUUAUCUUUCCACCUGUGCACUUCUUGUAGGUCUGGAUGUAAACUUUCCGAGGCAACUCGGUCGGGAGGAAUGUCAACUUUUUGUUGGCUUUCCUUGUAUGUCCAGGUCUAUGUUUUCAUAUACUCCAAAGCAUGUAACAGAAUGUGUCUAAGGUCUUUGUGCCUUAUAAACUAUAUA
rnacentral:misc_RNA from 1 species